rnacentral:lncRNA from 8 species
AUGGCCUACUCAUCACGCAUGCACGUGACACACAUUGCAUGCAUGCAGACGGACGCACGCGCGCACGCACACACACUUCCCUGGGCGCCUGGCUGUCAGAAGAUGACAUUCACCCAGUCUAACAACCAGGGAACCUUUUGGUUUUCAUUCUCUCUCUCCUCUCUGGAGAGGAGGAGGGAAGGAAGAUGCGGCCUCUUCCACUUCACUGGGGAAUCAUUAGAGAGCUGUCUCAAGGCUUCCUGUUGGCUCUCUGUCACAAAUUAGACACACAAUGGUUGCACAGACUCACACAUCAAUCACAAUUACCUAGACCAGACUAGCCCAGUCCAGCUCAACGCAGCCCAAUUGUAGCCCCACCCCUAGCCCCAGCACCACCCCCGGACCCAAACUAAACCCAACCCCCUCACAACCCAGUCCCGGCACAGCACAGCACAGCCCACACAGGCUUCUCAACCAAGCCUGUUGCUGACCUUUGUCUCAUAUCACCACUUCACUUGGGUUCUGUUGUUGUUGUUAUUCUAUUUUUCAACAGAAGAUACUUCAUAAAUGUAAAGCUUGUAAAGAAUAUUGAUAUUCUUCAGUAGUUUGAGGAGGAAAAUAGCCUUGAAACCUGUGUUGCGCAAGUAUCAACAUUGCUAUCUAUAACCUUCAUUACCAUCAGCCAGCCCGCUAGAGUGAAGAGUUAGUACAUAACACAAUGGCCAAUGUUAGCUGGUGUUUUCAGUGUACCAUUUCUAGUAUUGAUUCAAGUGUUAAAUUAACACUCAUUGGUGGAAAAGAACCCCAGUGUUGGUGUUAAUAACUAGUGUUAAACGAAAUCCAUGGCCAUCUUUAUCAUAUUUCCCAGCAUACUCUAUUGCAGGUAGAUUGUUUGAAUUGUUUGUUUCAAUAUCUAUGUUUUUGCAUAUACAUGUACUGAUUAAUUAAUCUUAUGCUACUCAAAUAAAAACAACAUACAUUUACCUAAACUAAUUGCACCCAUUACUGAAAUGGUUUAUCCAGUUUAUAAGGCUUAGGUAGGUUCAUUUCUUAACCUUCCCAACCUGGCAGUCAUUCUGAAUGCAGGUUGCGGGUAAAUAAAAAUUCCAAAUGUUUGAUGUCCCCAGUCUACCUGGAUCAUUGCUACUCUCCCUUCUGGGAUGGCUAAAAGGCCCUCCUUCUCACUCACUUUGGCAAACUAGAACAUGCCUCCAUUCUGCUCCUCCCCACCUAUGGGCAGA